CCUACGGGAGGCAGCAGUGGGGAAUAUUGGACAAUGGGCGCAAGCCUGAUCCAGCCAUGCCGCGUGAGUGACGAAGGUCUUCGGAUUGUAAAGCUCUUUUGCCAGGGACGAUAAUGACGGUACCUGGAGAAUAAGCCCCGGCUAACUUCGUG
rnacentral:rRNA from 1 species